GAGUGAUUUCUGCUAAAGAAAUCUUUUGCAAGUUAUAAAACCACUAGUGAAUAAGGGGUGGGCAAGUUCUGGUGUCAGCCGCCGCGGUAAAACCAGCACCUCAAGUUGGUCAGGAAGAUUAUUGGGCCCUAAAGCAUCCGUUAGCCGGCUCUGUAAGUUUUCGGUUAAAUCCAUGUGCUCAACGCAUGGGCUGUCGAAAAUACUGCAUAGCUAGGGAGUGGGAGAGGUAGACGGUACUCGGUAGGAAGGGGUAAAAUCCUUUGAUCUAUCGAUGACCACCUGUGGCGAAGGCGGUCUACCAGAACACGUUCGACGGUGAGGGAUGAAAGCUGGGGGAGCAAACCGGAUUAGAUACCCGGGUAGUCCCAGCUGUAAACGAUGCAGACUCGAUGAUGCAUUGGCAUAUAGCCAGUGCAGUGUCGCAGGGAAGCCGUUAAGUCUGCCGCCUGGGAAGUACGUACGCAAGUAUGAAACUUAAAGGAAUUGGCGGGGGAGCACCACAAGGGGUGAAGCCUGCGGUUCAAUUGGAGUCAACGCCGGGAAUCUUACCAGGAGCGACAGCAGGAUGAAAGUCAAGUUGGAGACUUUACCAGACAAGCUGAGAGGUGGUGCAUGGCCGUCGUCAGCUCGUGCCGUGAGGCGUCCUGUUAAGUCAGGCAACGAGCGAGACCCCCACCGUUAAUUGCUAUCAGCGACCGUAGGGUUGCUGGAGAUAUUUAGCGGGACUGCUACCGCUAAGGUGGAGGAAGGAGGGGGCCACGGCAGGUCAGUAUGCCCCGAAACUCCUGGGCUACACGCGGGCUGCAAUGGUAGGUACAAUGAGUUUCGACCUCGAAAGGGGAAGGUAAUCCCGAAAACCUACCCCAGUUGUGACUGAGGGCUGAAACUCGCCCUCACGAAUCUGGAAUCCCUAGUAAUCGCGCGUCAACAUCACGCGGUGAAUACGUCCCUGCUCCUUGCACACACCGCCCGUCGCUUCACCCGAGUUGGGUUUGGGCGAGGUAACGCCUAAUUGACGUUGUCGAACCUGAGCUCAACAAGGGGGGAGAAGUCGUAACAAGGUAACCGUA
rnacentral:rRNA from 2 species